AUUUUUUCUCUUCCAUCUCAUCUUUGAAAUGCAAGAGAAAGGCCAUACUGUAUUAUUCCAUCUCAGCUGCAAUUUAGGUUUUGGCCACUAGAUGGAGGCAUUGUAUGUGCCAAGUUUUAGACUGAUCCAAUGAACCAUUGUAUUUCUGUUCAAAAUGUUGCAUCAAGACUGCCCAAAUGUGCCUAAUUUGUUUAUUUAUUCAGUGUUCCAGUGGUGUAUUAGAUCUGUGUAGGUGAUAGCACCAGCCGAGAAAAUCUGUGUAGGCGCUAGCACCAGCCGAGCGAAUCUGUGUAGGCGCUAGCACCAGCCUAGCGAAUCUGUGUAGGCGCUAGCACCAGCCUAGCGAAUCUGUGUAGGCGCUAGCACCAGCCUAGCGAAUCUGUGUAGGCGCUAGCACCAGCCUAGCGAAUCUGUGUAGGCGCUAGCACCAGCCUAGCGAAUCUGUGUAGGCGCUAGCACCAGCCGAGCGAGCCAUACUUAAGUUUGAACUUUUUCUGUCUCAAAAUGCAUAUGCAAAAAUUGUUGACGUAGUUGCACGUGAUCAAACUCUAUAUCAAAGAUGUUUAUAACUAACCUAAGAGAGUCCACAGUGGCCAGAACAAGCAAAGAGAUGGGCAGAGCCAAGCACGAGCUAGCGUUCUACUGUAGCAUGUAUAUGCGUAUUUCCAUUAGGGAACGCCUACUUUGUGAAAUGCGCCUGUGCGAAAACUCAAUUUAAAGUCAACAAAACGUAGUCCAUUCUGUUCAUAACAGAUUCUAGUUUUGGGAACAGAAAACUGUAUCGAGAUCAAAUGUUUCAUCAAUGAGAACAUUUGGCAGAAUGUUGGGUAAAAUCCAUCUCGCUCCAUCUUUUCCCCACUGCCGUCCACUGAGCUUCCUGUCAUCACCAUAUUUGGUGGUGAGUGGAAAUGCCAAUCGGAUUCUUCAGUUUACACAUCUGGUGGAACAUCUCAUUGUUCUACCUGUGGCUAUAUGUUAUCUGUUCCCAUCAGAUUGAGCUUUGUGCUAACCUGCACAGCUGGCCGUGAUUAUAUUCAGCGUAAAAAAUUCCAUAUCAGCCAACUAAAAUCGUUGACGUAGUUGGACGUGAUCCAACACUUGUUCAUUAGAGUGUCCUUAACAACAAUGUUCUGAUAAUCAAAGGAACUAGCAUCUAUUUUACUGACUGGUUAAAUAUCUCUCUGUGCCUAUAGCUCCUAGUAGUUAAAUAUCUCUCUGUGCCUAUAGCUCC
ensembl:lncRNA